AAGAGUUCGUAGGUGGUUGAAAAAGUUAGUGGUGAAAUCCCAGAGCUUAACUCUGGAACUGCCAUUAAAACUUUUCAGCUAGAGUAUGAUAGAGGAAAGCAGAAUUUCUAGUGUAGAGGUGAAAUUCGUAGAUAUUAGAAAGAAUACCAAUUGCGAAGGCAGCUUUCUGGAUCAUUACUGACACUGAGGAACGAAAGCAUGGGUAGCGAAGAGGAUUAGAUACCCUCGUAGUCCAUGCCGUAAACGAUGUGUGUUAGACGUUGGAAAUUUAUUUUCAGUGUCGCAGGGAAACCGAUAAACACACCGCCUGGGGAGUACGACCGCAAGGUUAAAACUCAAAUGAAUUGACGGGGACCCGCACAAGUAGUGGAGCAUGUGGUUUAAUUCGAAGAUACGCGCAGAACCUUACCAACACUUGACAUGUUCGUCGUGACUCUAAGAGAUUAGAGUUUUCGGUUCGGCCGGACGAAACACAGGUGCUGCAUGGCUGUCGUCAGCUCGUGUCGUGAGAUGUUGGGUUAAGUCCCGCAACGAGCGCAACCCUCACUUUUAGUUGCCAUCAUUAAGUUGGGCACUCUGAAAGAACUGCCAGUGAUAAGCUGGAGGAAGGUGGGGAUGACGUCAAGUCCUCAUGGCCCUUACGUGUUGGGCUACACACGUGCUACAAUGAUAUCUACAACAGGAAGCAAGACUGCGAAGUUAAGCAAAUCCCUAAAAGAUACCUCAGUUCGGAUU
rnacentral:rRNA from 1 species